rnacentral:rRNA from 1 species
UACGUAGGGGGCGAGCGUUAUCCGGAUUUACUGGGUGUAAAGGGAGCGUAGACGGUUAAUCAAGUCUGAAGUGAAAGCCCGCGGCUCAACUGCGGAACGGCUUUGGAAACUGAGUAACUGGAGUGCAGGAGAGGUAAGCGGAAUUCCUGGUGUAGCGGUGAAAUGCGUAGAUAUCAGGAGGAACACCAGUGGCGAAGGCGGCUUACUGGACGAUGACUGACGCUGAGGCUCGAAAGCGUGGGGAGCAAACAGG